rnacentral:rRNA from 1 species
AUGUACACCGCCAGGAAGAAGAUCUGGAAGAACAAGGGCGUCAAGCCCUCCAAAUUCGAGGUUAGCGUCGCGCAGGCUUUAUUUCACGUGAAGAAAGGCAAUCAGGAGCUCAGGGAUGACCUCAAGGACAUGUACAUCAACACUGCAAUGUAA